rnacentral:Y_RNA from 1 species
GGCUGGUACGACGGUAGUGGGUUAUCAGAACUUAUUAACAUUAGUGUCACUAAAGUUGGUAUACAACUCCCCACUGUCAAAUUUGACUGGCUUUAA